UGAAUACUAUUUAUUUAUAAUAAUCAGGUGCAUGAAACAAUUUAAUAAUAAUACAAUUAAAAAUCUUUAUAGCUUGGUUUAAUGUAGUGUAUUCAAGUUACUAAAAAUUAAAAAAUAUUGUUAAGUUACUUAGUUAAAAUGUCCUAUAAUACUAAAUACUUAAUUUCUUACAAGUCAUAAUGAAUAACAGUUAAUAAGUUUAUAAUAGUUGACCAUAUACUUAUUAUAUAGCGAUGAAUAAAAAUAUUGCGAACAAACCUUGUUUUUUUGAAACAGCUAAUGUUUUACCUAAUACUGUUGGCAGUUUACCAGACAAUGUACCAGUUAUUGAAUGUAAGUAUUUAAGUUUUGAUUAUAAGUAUUUUUAGUUAUUACUAUAAUUUAAUCACAGUAUUUAUUGGUUUUUGAAUAAAGUUUUUAAAGCAGUUGUGAAGUCAUUAAGGCAAGGGGAUUACCAUUUGGGGUCAUGAUUCAAAAAUAGGAAGUUCUAAUAAUGGAAAUUUGUUAAUAGCUUUAGA